CUCUCCCCCACCCCCUCCCUUCUCUCUCCGCUCGGAGGCUCACUCCCCUAGUCUUUUUUCACCUUUCCGACCACCCCGCCCUAGGCGCCUCUGGCGCGCUCUGAUGACGCUCCAAGGGAAGAGGAAGUCGGGCUCGGCGAGCGGGUGGGUGCGCCUCGGGCCGCGGACUCGGUGUCGCUGCCGCCGCCUCUACGGCCGCGUCAGAACAGAAGAGAGGAAGGGGAGGAGCCGCGUGGAGCCUAAGCUGCCGCCUGAGCUUACCCCUGACCCGAGGGCGGUGGAGAGAGCUUGCUCUGUAGCGGUUUCCUUCAGAGCAGGUGGUGACUGCUCCUUGGGGAGCAAGGAGGAGGCCCAGGCCGCGCGGCCAUGCUCGGGCGCGCACCACCCGAAGUUACCCUAGAUUUGACUCUCUUCUUAUGACUGGUCCCUGCCGGAUCCUUCCAGAUAAGACUCACAAGGAAUCUGAACAGCAAGUGAUGGCCCCACAUGGCUACAUGUGUAAAUCAUUUGGGGUUUUGCUCCUCUUCCUAAUUUUUUGAUGGAAAUUGAAGGAAUAAAAUACACAGAUUGAGGGGAUUUUGUAAAGCCUAGCACCACAGAUUUCUGUUAACUUUGGCUAGAAGAAAUGCAAACAUCAGAGCUCUGCAACCCAGCAGAGGACACCUCCAGGGCAGUGUGUAACCAACCACAUGGAGCUUUUCAGCAGCCUGAUUGGUUUUCGUUGUCAGUGGUUCCACCAGAGAACCUUGGUGCUGAGAGGCAGCGUAGCAGGGAGGAGAGCCCUCAGCCAACUACUGAUGAACUUCCAGCUGCACUAGCUUACUAGGCAAGACCCACCCAGUUCACCACCCGGUAUGCUGACUGGAGGAAACAGCUGGAACUGGCGGCUGCAGAACAGGAAGCUCCUACAUUGCCAACUUGGUCUGCAUCUCUUCAGUGCUUUCAUUUCUUACUACUCCAGAGAAGAAAACAACUGGUUCAUUCGAAAUUCAAAAAAAGAAAUCUGAAGUUUUAGGAUACAGAGUUCUUUCCCUGGCUCAUCAGUUUGUGUAUAAUAAGGAUCUGGGUAGUAUGUUAAAAUAUAACAGAGGGAUAUUUGUAUAGGGUUCUUUUCUCCUACACUUGAAAGUGAGCUCGUAUGAGAAACCAUUUUAUCAGCUUCAUUAUCCCACACCAGUAGUUUUUGCUGUAAAAGAUUUCAUAAGCUAAAUUCUCUAGCAGUAUUUCUUUCUAGAAAUUCCAUCUACAAUAUUCAAUUACUUUUAGUGGUUUGAUUGUGAAAUAUGCAUUAAAAUGCAUAAAGCAGUUACUCAGUAAAAGGAGUAAUUGUAAAAGAAGCCUCCAUGUAACCAACCAGGUCAAGAAAUGGAACAUUUCCAGCACCCUAGAAGUACCCCAGUGGCCUUCCUGAAUACAACUCUUUCCCCCCCUUUUUGAGGUAACUGUUAUUCUGACUUUAGUGAUAGCCAUUUCCUUGCUUUUCUCUAUAGUUUCAUUACAAGCAUGUGUAUCUCUAAACAACAUAUUAUUUGGUUUUGCCCUUUGUCUUGGAACAACAGUAUGUAACCUGUUUUGAUUACAGCUUUUGCUCAACAUGUUUUUUAACCCGUCAUACGUUGUUUGGGUUGUUCAUAUAACUGUAGUUUGUUCAUUUUAAUUGCUGUUUUAUGGUGUUCCAUUAUAGCAAUAUGGCAUAAUUUAUUUAGCCAUUCUAUUGUUGAUGAAUAUCUGGGUUGUUUCCAGUUUGAAAUUGUUGUAAAUACUGCUAUAAAUAUUUCUUGCAUAUGUAUUCCAUCACAUCUGAGUUUCUGUAUGGUGUAUACCUGGGAGUAGUUACAUGUGUUCUAGAUUUGAAUGAAUAAUUCCAAGCUGUUUUCUAAAGUGUUACACUCACACCAGCAUUGUAUGAACCUCAUGUCCACACCCUCAACCACAAUCGAUAUAGUCAGUCCUUUUCUGUCUUGCCAGUCUGGUGGGAGUUUGAGCUUGCAUUUCCCUAAUUGCUGAUGCCGAUGAGGACUUUUUCAUAUAUCAACUGGCCAUUUGUAUUUCUUUUGUGAGAUGUGUUAUCAUUUUCAUGCCUAAUCACUGAGAUACAAUUUUCCAAUAUCCUUAUAGUCCAUAUUUGAAUAAUAUAUGUCAGGUAAGGUAAUACUACCAAAUGAGUUACAUUUGGGACAAGUUCUUUCCAAAAUAAGAAUAAUUAUAUUAAUAGUUUGUCUAAUUAUCUCUUAUGAAUUUGAUGAUAAACUUCUUAAGAGUAGGUCUAUAAGGCUAUAUUUUUUACAUUCCAAAUAAUGUCACACUUUGAACUAUUAAAUCAUUGCUGGAAUCCCUCAUGGUGCUUUGGUGUGACUUAGUUUUCCUCAAGUAUGUAGUCAGAUGUUUAUUCAAUGAACCUGUGUAACUAAACUCUUGCUUUGUAUUUUAUAGGCAACUAUGUAACAAAUUGUUUCACCUGCACAAAUUUUUUUUCAUUUCCAUUUUCAUUCAUUUUAUGAAAGUUACAAUGGCUUUUUCUUCCCUCCUAGAAUUCCUGCUAAAAUACAUGUUUUCUUUUUCUUUUUAAUUUUACCCAUUAAUAUCAAAUACAUACCAUCCAUGUCACUACCUGACAAAUUUUCCCAAGGUAUUCUAUUUGCCUAUUUUAUCAUGUUCUUAUCUGUCAGUUCUUUGUUUGGAGUGAGUGCUGUUUUAAGAUUGGAUGAAGAACCACAGAAAUUAAAUCACUUAACCAGGGUCAGAAGAUUAAAUAAAAAGGAAGCCUGGACUCAGCCCCAAGUCUUCAAGUAGAUUGCUUGCUGUUACAUCAUACACUCAGGCAGCAAGGCAAAUUAGUUCCACUGGUCUAUGGAAUGUUGUUCACCUCCACAUGGCAAACCUCAUAUUCUACCAUUGGAUAAGGUUACUUUAUUUUAAGCCUAAUAGCUCUAGAAUCAGAUUAAGAUUGGUACAUAUAAAAAUAAAAGAAUACAUUUGAAUCAGUUCUAAUGAGGUGGAUGAAACUGGAGCCUAUUAUACAGAGUGAAGUAAGCCAGAAGGAAAAACAUAAAUACAGUAUACUAACGCAUAUAUAUGGAAUUUAGAAAGAUGGUAACAAUAACCCGGUGUACGAGACAGCAAAAGAGACACUGAUGUAUAGGACAGUCUUAUGGACUCUGUGGGAGAGGGAGAGGGUGGGAAGAUUUGGGAGAAUGACAUUGAAACAUGUAAAAUAUCAUGUAAGAAACGAGUUGCCAGUCCAGGUUCGAUGCACGAUACUGGAUGCUUGGGGCUAGUGCACUGG
ensembl:lncRNA